AUAGUAAAGCUGCGUAGAGAGCCUGCGGAGGAUCAUUA
rnacentral:rRNA from 1 species